rnacentral:lncRNA from 1 species
AAUCUUCACAAUCCACGUUCUUCUGCCAUGGCUUCAGCCGGUCCCUCCAUUUGGGGUCCCUGACUUCCUGCAACACUUAGAUGGCCAAAUAGACUCUGCAGCUCUGAUUAAGUGAAGGGUCUUUAAAUAGUGAGACUAUCUGGGAUUAUCUGGGUGGACCCAAUACAGUCACAGUUUUAUAAAUUUGGGAGCUCUAGUGUUAGGUGCAUAUAUAUUUAGGAUUGUGGUAUUUUCUUGUUGGACUAGUCCUUUUAUCAUUAUAUAAUGUCCCUCUUCAUCUUUUUUAACUGCUGUUGCUUUAAAGUUUGUUUUGUAUAAUUUAAGAGUAGCUAUGUUAGGAAUGUUAUAUUAUUGACUAUUUGGAUUUUGUUAUCGUCUUUUAGAGUGUUGAUAUUUGCUUUGGCAGGCCGUUACUUGCAUAUCAGUUUUAUCCUUUUGAGCCUUAUUGUUAAGCUUUGUUAGGAUAGGUCUAGAGUAGCCUUAUUGAUUCAGCCCUGAAUGAGCUCAGAGAAUUGUUCCGAUAGAAAACCCCGGCAGUUGUUCUUUGCCUGGAUUUGUGGAGUUCACUUACACAUGUGCAGUUUUGGAUUCAGCCACUCAAUGGGACUCUUAUGCAGGUUUCUGGCAUUCUUCCUUUGUGUAGCUCCUCCUUCUCUGGAAUGCUGCCCUGUAAUUUGUCGCAGGGUCAUGAGCAGGUGGACGAGAGACACGCUUGCCUGCAUUUCUCGCCUGAAGCUUGCUGCAUACCACAUCCCGGUGCUUAAAGGAAACUAUGGAUGGUAAUUGGAUUUUGACAUUUAGGACUCAGCAAAUUGUACUUUUGGGCAUUUACCCCAGAAUUAUGAAAACUUAUGUUCACACAAAAACCUUUGUAGGAGUAUUCAUAGCAGCUUUAUUUGUAAUGGCCAAAAACUAGAAACAACCCAAAUGUCCUUCAAUAGGUGAUCAGUUAAACAAACGGUGGUAUAUUCAUACAAUGGACUAACCCCCAUGGUGUACAAGGGUCAAGGGUUACGUGUGUGUGUGUGUGUGUUUGUGUGUGUGUGUUUGUAUUUACUGAAAUAACAAAUUAUAGAGAUGGAGAACAGGUGAGUGGUUGCCUGGGGUGGGGAGAGAAGUGGUUGUGGCUAUAAAUGAGUGUCAUCAGGGAACCUUAUGAUGAAACUCUUCUAUAUUGUAAUGGUGGUGGUGGUCACAUGGGUCCACCCACAUGAUAAAAAGUGCAUCAAAAAAAUAUAUAAAUGAGUGCAGGUAAAACUGGUGAAAUCUGAUCACACCUUUUCUCCAGCCCUACCAGACAAAAGAUCUCGGUUCUUAAGACAACUAGACCCAUGUCAUCUCCCCAAUAUCAUUUUUCUGCAAGUCCUGCCUGACUUGAAUUCUUCUAACUGAAUGCAAAAGAAAGUAGCACUGAUGGCUGG